GAGACCUCAGGUCAGGCGGGGCUACCCGCUGAGUUUAAGCAUAU
rnacentral:rRNA from 1 species